UACGUAGGGGGCAAGCGUUGUCCGGAUUUAUUGGGCGUAAAGAGCGUGUAGGCGGCCUGGCAAGUCUGCUGUGAAAACUCGAGGCUCAACCUCGAGACGUCGGCGGAAACCCUCUGGCUAGAGUCCGGAAGAGGAGAGUGGAAUUCCUGGUGUAGCGGUGAAAUGCGCAGAUAUCAGGAAGAACACCCGUGGCGAAGGCGGCUCUCUGGGACGGUACUGACGCUGAGACGCGAAAGCGUGGGGAGCAAACAGG
rnacentral:rRNA from 1 species